rnacentral:rRNA from 1 species
UACGGAGGAUGCAAGCGUUAUCCGGAAUGAUUGGGCGUAAAGCGUCCGCAGGUGGCAGUUCAAGUCUGCUGUGAAAGACCGGGGCUUAACUUCGGAAAGGCAGUGGAAACUGAACAGCUAGAGUAUGGUAGGGGCAGAGGGAAUUCCUGGUGUAGCGGUGAAAUGCGUAGAGAUCAGGAAGAACAUCGGUGGCGAAGGCGCUCUGCUGGACCAUAACUGACACUCAGGGACGAAAGCUAGGGGAGCGAAUGGG